rnacentral:piRNA from 1 species
GACUUAGGGAUCUUUCACCUGCUGUGCCCA